UUUGCAACCGAAUCGGCGUAUUGAAUUCGCACUAGGAUUACACUUCAGCCAUUCGACUAUUUAUUACGAUUUUCGCGGAAGUAUAGCGCCUGUGAUGUGGACAAAAUGAUCGGGGAUCUCUUGAUAUUCGGGACCUUACUCAUGAACACUGGUGCUGUGUUAAACUUCAAACUUAAGAAAAAGGAGUCACAAGGACAAUAUGGAGAUGAACCUCGUGGACCAACUACAGGUGUGUGAUGCAUUAAAAAACCUCACCUCAGGAAACUUCACAGAGUGACUAUUCAUGAAAAUGAAAGUAAGGAUACUCAAGAUGUAUGCAUUGAGAUAGAUCAUCUAUUUUUAAAGAACAUAGGCUGCAGGCUAUUGCUGCAUCGUUUUUACCCCGUCCUCUGAGCCUUUAAAUCAAAUCAAAUCAAAUGUAUUUAUAUAGCCCUUCGUACAUCAGCUGAUAUCUCAAAGUGCUGUACAGAAACCCAGCCUAAAACCCCAAAACA